UGACCCUGCCCCCCUGUCGCCUGAAGCCCUUUGACGCCCGACCUCACCGCCUCAAGGCCACGCCCCUAACCCCCCCACACUUCUGACCUCUGACCAUGUCGCCUGAACCCCUGAACUUCUCCCCUGACUUUCGACCUCAACGCCUUAGGGCUAAACCCCUGACCCCCCUCCAUAUUCGACCUUUGACCUCUGGUACCCUGACCUCCAUGCCCACCGUCUCCUAACCUUGUGACCUCUGAACACCCACAGACAGAGAGUAUAACCAGCAUCAGUUUCAUUCUGAACCCCCAAAUCUUCCCCAGUAUAAAGAGACUCGUACCAGUACCACUGGCCUCAGGAUUAAUGGCAAUAGAUUAUGAAUUGAUUGUUCUGGUUCAAAUGAAUCAAUGAGUUAAACAGUGUUACUGUAAAAAAAAAAAGACAAUAUUUAUUGGAUUAUACAUCCAUGAUUUUUAAUGUUUUAUAUUGUCACACUCAGGUGCUAUCGUCGCAGUCGGAAAAGGUGUGAGACUCCGAGCCAGGGCUGCAGCUUCGCGCUCCACGUUGCACAUCGUCUUUAUACUUGACUAUUUUCUAGGUUGUUGUACAAAGAAAGUAGUUUGAGCCUGAAUAAAAAAAUAAUCAUUUCACUGACCACGUGUGAAGUCGAUCAAUGGGCCUAGGGAUGUCUCCUCUGCAAGAUUUCUAAACAUUGUCGUACUAUGCCAGCACGUAACUAUUUCCUUGUGCACUAAAAACCGCCUUCAUACUUCAGACACUAUAGUUGUACCGUUUGUUCUCACCAAAGGUUUUUGGAGGAGUUGUCAGCAGACGUGGCGGUUGCAGGUAGGGCUGGGCGAUUUGGCCUAAAAAUAAAAUCAGAUUUUUCAAACCAAACCCGAUUAUCGAUUUUAAUAGAUAUUUUUCGAUAAAUUACAAAUAUGUAUAUUUUUUAUGUUUCGAUUUUAUUUGAAGAAUAACUGAUUAUCAAAUGCAAAAUAAAUAACUAACUUCUCCCCCUCUGCUGUGUGCCCCAGUUUUAAGACAAUUUAAGCAAACUCUAAACACUCACUUUUUAAAGUGCAUGCUGCCAUGAUGACUGCCUUGAUAACUAACCUUUUUUUUUUUUUUUUAACUUCUAGAUGUAUUUCUUUAAUAAUCGAUUUUCUUAAAAAAAAUCUUCCUGAACCAUUUUUUCGAAUUACGAUAAAAAAAAUCGCUAAACGCCCAGCUUUAGUUGCAGGGCUUUCUGGGAGGGGGUGGUUUGAGCGGGACAUCUGGGCUGCGCUGGUAGCUCCUCGGAGGGUCCGGACCAGCUCUCGGUAGGUCCACCCUCUCCAAGGGCAACGGGGUCUUUCCCGUCUCCCUCCUGGAGCGCGGGGACUUGGGCUGACACAAGGGGCGGCUAGCCGCAGACGGUCGCCUGUGGUGGCAGUGCUGCCUCCUCCGUCCUCCGCCAGGCUCCACUUCA
ensembl:lncRNA